ACUCCUACGGGAGGCAGCAGUGGGGAAUAUUGCACAAUGGGCGCAAGCCUGAUGCAGCCAUGCCGCGUGUGUGAAGAAGGCCUUCGGGUUGUAAAGCACUUUCAGUCGUGAGGAAGGUGAGUAGUAGUUAAUAGCUGCAUUUAUUGAUCGUUAGCGACAGAAGAAGCACCGGCUAACUCCGUGCCAGCAGCCGCGGUAAUACGGAGGGUGCGAGCGUUAAUCGGAAUUACUGGGCGUAAAGCGCAUGCAGGUGGCUUGUUAAGUCAGAUGUGAAAGCCCGGGGCUCAACCUCGGAAUUGCAUUUGAAAACUGGCAAGACUAGAGUACUGUAGAGGGGGGUAGAAUUUCAGGUGUAGCGGUGAAAUGCGUAGAGAUCUGAAGGAAUACCGGUGGCGAAGGCGGCCCCCUGGACAGAUACUGACACUCAGAUGCGAAAGCGUGGGGAGCAAACAGAUUAGAUACCCUGGUAGCUACGAGU
rnacentral:rRNA from 1 species